CUUCCAUUUGCUUUUUCAGAAAUGAUCUUUCUUACUGAAAAUGAAAUGCUUUAACACAGUGAUUCAUCAAGUCUGCUGAAAAACGAUCCCAGCCAGCAUCCACCAAUCUGUCAAGCUUCUCUUGUUUGUCUUUGUCCUCAGCCAGGCAAAAUGUCUAUCACAAAACAGGGACUGAGCCUCCAAGGAGAAUCGCGGCUAGCUGACGUGCCCAGCCGUGGAAGCCAGCAGCCUUCAAAGGACCAAGAGCUGACAGACACCACCGUGCCUCCCCGAGUAAAAUAACUGAAGAAUUAUUGAGGCUGAGAUAAAGGCUAUGUAACAGCAACAGCAACAGCAACCCCACUUAGCAAAGACACAAACAUGCUGAAAGCACUAUAUAAACAUUCUGCGCUUGCAGAAACCUGUGAGGCCCAUAAUUAUUUCCAUCUCUGUGUUACAGAUGGGGGCUUUCGGUAGCCUUCUCUGUUCCCGUGGAUGGUUUGUCAGAUCUCUCACUCUCUGUCUAAGCAAAAGACUUUGGAGUUUAUACAUGUAACUGGUAAUGCAUGAAACAGGAGGCAAACACUGAAGACGCCCAGUCCUGUACUUCUUGCUCCUGAUGAGGAAGAGGAAGCACUUUGGAGUAAAACUUCUUCAUGGGCAUACAAGGAAGGUGCAUCUGUGCAGAACACAGGUGUUACCAAUAAUUACAGUAUAUACGAUACAAGACUUGGAUUAAACUGAAGCCAUACUAAUACUAAACAGUGAAAGUCCUUCCACUAUCCCAGCAUGCUGAGAGGGAAGGUGGCUUUGCUGUGAUCCUCUCUGGAAGAUGGGCCAAAAGGAGACUCUGGGGGAGAUCUUUAUGAGCUCCUUUUCAUCUCCCUGCCAGCCUGUGCUUGUCACUUAUGCUCUGGCAUAGCCUUUAGGCAAAGACCCCAUAGAGGAUGCCAGCGGCUUCCCCAGCUUUCUAACCUGCAGGUAAAUAGACACUUUUAAUUUCAAGGCUCAAUGCUUCCCUACCACAUCAAGAACAAAUAUUCCACCCAGCCAGCCCACCAAAAUGACUGCGAUCCCAAACAGCAGAUGUCAAACUGGACAAAGCCACUCGGCAGCGUUUCAAUAUUGGCAGUUUCUCAGGUACCAAGAGGGAAAUACACUGGCUCUGGCUCUGUAACUUUGAAGGAAAAGCAGAAAAGGCAGGAGCAGAUGAUCCCAGGAAAUGAUCUAAGAUUGCAAGAAGAAUGAAGGGGUCGGAAGCAUGCUGGCUGGGGUCAGCUGAGGACUGGAUUAUCUAUGGUGAAUUUACCCAGCAACAAAUUGCAUCUGUGAUGAGAGAGUCCCUUUUGCCUGCUGGAUGAUGUGAGGUGUUCUUCAUAACUCAACCUCCAGCUGGCAGCACUUGUGUUUCUCGGCUGAAUACAUGCUUUAUAUCCCGGGUGGAUUGUGCUGUAAGGUCAGUUGUUAUCACUGAUGUGAGCUUAGGAAAGCGCUUGUUACUCAGGAGUGCAAACCGUUUGCAGGGAUGCAGCCCUUCCCAUUUCAGAACAUUUGGGAUCUGGUCCCUGCCUCAAGACUCCCUGUACUGCUGCUGUGGUCCUCUUCAUUUUGGCUGUGCAAAUCUGAACUGCAGUGCUAAUAAGCUCUGAAGCACCCAUGUCUCCAUUGAUAGCACUGAGGGCUCUGUCACCUCUCUUCAUUUUAGCGUUUUGCACUUAGUAUAUAUGCUUGUGGUGGUUGCUUAGCCAGAGUUUCAUAGCGCCUUUCUUCUUCAAGUGUGCCCUGACUCAUGUUAUUGAUCCCCCAGGUGCUAGCUCGGUGAUUUCCUGAGUUUUUCGCAUUGUCAGGUUUGUUGUUGCCGCUUUGCUGCUUUGACGCAACGCCGUUCAAGAGUUGUAGGGUUUCCUCCCUUGAGGUGAGCAUGCUGUAGCACGUCCACUGACACUGAAUAUGUUUCGCCUUCGUUAGUUCCCUGACAACUCCCAGAUUUGGAAUCUGACCAGUGAUCUGGGCAACACUCUGAAGAGUAUUUCACCUAUUUAUGUCCCAAAGCGAUUCUUGCUAGACUGGCAACUUCUGAAAUUACAUAGCCUAUAUGUCUUCUGUGUUAAUUAGAAAGGUAAUUGGAGCCACUGCCUUUUCUUUCUGCUCUACUUGGCUUCACAGAUGCGCUGGCAAAACUUUUACCAACACUGUGUCAAGAAGUUUAGUAGUAGGAAAAAAACAAAUAAAACUGAUACUCUCACCUCCUUUUCUAUUUUGCAAAAGAUUAUGACAGAUAAAGAGACCCUACUGAACUGCAAAAGCAUUUCUGUCUAGUUUCCCCCUGAGCCCUGCCACCAUGCGUUGUGCUGGUUUAGUCCCUGGGUAUGGAUUACCUGGAUUGUCUGUGCUUACUGCUUCAUCCAGCAGCCAAACCAAAGAAGGGAGAAAGCUGGUGUAGCAAAGGCUUCCCCAUAUGCGUGAUUCCAAGUGUGAUUCUCAGGUGAAGGCACUGUAUACACAGUACUCGUUAGGUUUUUAGGUUCUGAACUAUUAUAAAUAGUCGAAGUAGCCCUACUGCCUGCCCGUGGAGCUACGGCAUGUUAGCGUGGAGCUAUGGCAUGUUAGCAAAGUUGAGAAGGCACUCGCACUCGCUGUAGGAAAUCGUGCAAGAUAACAUUGAUGGGGAGGCAGAAUGACAAAUGCAACUAUUUCUCCAAAGUUUGGAGUUAUUUUUAUUUGCCUUUUGGUCUUUAAUAUUUUAAACCUUUUAAACCUUUUACAUUUUAUCAUAGAACU